rnacentral:lncRNA from 1 species
CUUUCCGAAGCGUACCCAAUCGACAAUCAGUCGAUUCUAACCGAAGUUCAACUCUCAUAUUUCAAGAAUUCACUUCCUUACAUCCUCCCCACCUUUAAAAGAGUUUCGUCCUCGAAACGAACUCAAAUCUCAACUAAAGCUCAAACUUAACUCAUACCUAACUCACUCCCCAAAAAGAUGAGGGUGCUGCACUUUCAUC